rnacentral:rRNA from 1 species
UUAUUGGGCGUAAAGAGCUCGUAGGUGGUCUGUCACGUCUGCUGUGGAAUCGUAAGGCUCAACCUUGCGCGUGCAGUGGGUACGGGCGGACUAGAGUGCAGUAGGGGAGUCUGGAAUUCCUGGUGUAGCGGUGAAAUGCGCAGAUAUCAGGAGGAACACCGGUGGCGAAGGCGGGACUCUGGGCUGUUACUGACGCUGAGGAGCGAAAGCAUGGGGAGCGAACAGGAUUAGAUACCCUGGUAGUCCAUGCCGUAAACGUUGGGCACUAGGUGUGGGGGCCAUUCCACGGUUUCCGCGCCGUAGCUAACGCAUUAAGUGCCCCGCCUGGGGAGUACGGCCGCAAGGCUAAAACUCAAAGGAAUUGACGGGGGCCCGCACAAGCGGCGGAGCAUGCGGAUUAAUUCGAUGCAACGCGAAGAACCUUACCAAGGCUUGACAUGCACCGGAAUGUGCCAGAGAUGGUGCAGCCCUUUGGGGCUGGUGUACAGGUGGUGCAUGGUUGUCGUCAGCUCGUGUCGUGAGAUGUUGGGUUAAGUCCCGCAACGAGCGCAACCCUCGUUCUAUGUUGCCAGCACGUGAUGGUGGGAACUCAUAGGAGACUGCCGGGGUCAACUCGGAGGAAGGUGGGGAUGACGUCAAAUCAUCAUGCCCUUUAUGUCUUGGGCUUCACGCAUGCUACAAUGGUCGGUACAGAGGGUGGCGAGACCGUGAGGUGGAGCGAAUCCCUUAAAGUCGAUCUCAGUUCGGAUCGUAGUCUGCAACUCGACUACGUGAAGUCGGAGUCGCUAGUAAUCGCAGAUCAGC